UCCUUAGUGGUCGAGUUGGCUAAGACACCCGUAUCGGAAAUUUGGGAGGUCCCAGGUUCGAACCCUGGCUGAGAUG
rfam:Solenopsis invicta Si_gnG.contig49815, whole genome shotgun sequence.